UUUAAAGUACUUAGUUUAUUUUUGGUAUUUAACUUUGUUGUUACAGUAUGUGCUGUUUGUCAUUAGAUAUUUUGGAUUAUUGAGAGUCAAAUCAGAUUAAGAGCAUUGUUCUAUUAUUUGUUGUGGUUCUUCAUAAAUCUGGUAUCAAAGCAAACAGUCAUAUACCAUGAAGGUUCUCUUAUUGGCCUCCUCUUAACAAAAAUCAUAAAUCAAGAGUAAAUUGUUGUGCUCAAAAUAGAACCAAAUGAAGGUUCUCUUAUUAGUUUGACUCUAAUGCUGGCCUUGCAGAAAAAUUCGCAUGCAAAGCAUAUGCACUAUAUUGAGAUUAUAGGAAGAAAUUGAGAUUAUAGGAAGAAAACUGCUUCUAUUUUCUUACCUCUUGUGUAGUAAGUUACAGAGUUUAUAUAGUACAUAAUAUGAACAAUUAGACCUUUGAUUGUGCCCUCAAUUAUGUCCUAGAAUCGUGCUAUACUAAACAUGGUAAGAUUUGAUCACUGAUUGAUUUACAAUCAUGGCAGAGGAUUCUUUCCAACACUGAUUGAUUUACAAUCAUGGCAGAGGAUUCUUUCCAACACUCCCCCUCAAGUUGGUUCAUGUGGAUCUAGCAUACCCAACUUGCCCAAAACCUCAUGGAAUAUUCGUCCAGCUACUGCUUUGGUUAGGAUGUCCGCCCAUUGAUCCUUUGAUUGAACAAACGGUAAAGAUAUUAGACCACUAUCCAACUUUUCUUUGAUGAAAUGUUGGUCUAUUUCAACAUGUUUUGUUCGAUCAUGUUGAACUGGAUUUUCAGAAAUGCUUAUUGCCGCCUUGUUGUCACAACGGAGUUCAGCUGCAUCCUUUUGUAUCCAUUCUGAGCAAAUGUUUUUAUGUAGGUUGACCAACUGAGGUGAUAGUCUUUCUCCUCUGGUAACGUUUGCCACAGGGUAUCUGGACCUGGCUGCCUCGAAUUCUGGAUCAUAUCUCCUGGGUGGAAUUCCUCUAUUAUUUCGAGGGGGUAGGACAUAUUGGCCUGUUUCAGGAACCUCAAAGGAAAUGGGUUCAGUGGUAAGGUUAUUAGAACUAGGGGAAAGUUUAGAUUCACAUACCUCAGUUGUGUGUUCCUCAGGAUAUUCUACGGUGUCAGGUUCUGGUUGUGACGUUGAGACCGAGGACUGUACUAGAUGGUCAGUGUCUCCCAGUUCUGGUGUAGACUCAGGAAGAGAAGAAUGAUCAAGUUCUGGCUCCCCCUGACUAAGCCAAUUUGGCAGUGGUGGUGAUUGUGCCGUUGUCUCCCCCUCACAGCUAGUUGGCGAAGGAAAAAAAAUAUUCCUCUUCCAGAAAAGUGCAGUCCAUGGUAGUGAAGAGCCGUUUAGAGAUUGGGUCAAAACACCGAUAGCCCUUUUUAUGGACACCAUAACCAAAGAAAACACACUUAAGAGUACAUGGAUCAAGUUUAGUGCGGUGUGUUUUAGGAAUGUGAAUAUAAACUGUGCAGCCAAAGAUUUUAGAUGGAAGGUUGAGAUGGGAAGGGAUGGUGUGAUGAGAGGACAAGGUAUGCAAGGGAGAUUGGAAAUUAAUGACGCGAGACGGAAGUCGAUUGAUGAGGUAAACGGAUGUGGCAACUGCUUCAAACCAAAACUUAGGAGGAACUUGGGCUUCAUACAAUAAGGCUCGGGCAGUCUCAAGGAUAUGUCAAUUUUUCUUUUCAGCAACCCCAUUUUGCUGUGGUGUAUAAGGACAAGUAGUUUGGUGAAGGAUCCCAUUAUCCCGGAAAAAGGUUUGGAGAUGGUUAUUUAAAAAUUCCCCCCUAUUGUCAGAUCGGAGGACUUGAAUGGUCCUGUGAAAUUGGGUUUUAAUCAUGCGGAAAAAAUCACAGAAUUUCUCAGCCACUUCACCUUUUUGUUUUAACAGGUAAACUCAAGUAACACGAGUACAAUCAUCAAUAAAAGUCACAAAGUAUCUAUAAUCAGGGGAGACAGAUUCUGGGGCAGGCCCCCAUACAUCAGAGUGUAUUAUUGAGAAGGGAGUAUCAGAUUUAUUUGUGGAUAUAUGAUAAGUACUCUUAUGACUCUUAGCAAGCACGCAUGAAGUACAAACUGGAAUGUCAAUGGAUUUAAACUCAGGAAACAAAGUACGAAGAUAAUCACUUGAGGGAUGGCCGUAGCGCCGGUGCCAGAGCCAUAACUGUCGGGUUGAGGACCCUUGAGCUAAAUGAGCUGACCCAGUACUUGAGACCUCCUCCACAUAGUACAGUCCAUCUUUCUUAGUACCACGGCCCAGUACCGUGCCCGUAUGAAUAUCCUGCAAAACACAAAAAUGAGGAUACAUAAGUACUCUGCAAUUUAACUGUUUGGUGAUCUGACUAACAGAGAGUAAUUUGCAAGAUAAGGAAGGUACAUAGAGGCUAUUGGAGACAUUUAAAGUGGGGUUUAUAGAAACGGUACCACCACCGAUGACCGGGAAGGAGCCACCGGUAGCGUUUAGAAUAUUGGAUUUUAAGGGUGGGGCUGACACAACAAAAUCUGAAGAAUCAUUAGUCAUAGUGUCUGUGGCUCCUGAAUCAAAUACCCACCCACUAGCAUUUUGUACCUUGUGAGCAUGACCGAUAGAGUUAAGGGCUAACGAUUCAGACUUAUCUAAAACAUCCGGGACCAGUGAUUUAAUUUUACAAGAAUUAAAACAAGCAGGGGCACAUUUAGAUUUAUUUAAAGAGACAGGGGUAGAAAGGUCAUUGUCCCUCCUUUCUAACCCUAAAAUACCUCCUUCUCGAUCAUAAGGGACACCCGUGCCUCCUCCUUUCUUGGCUCCUUGUAGCGCCGCUGCAACCCCUGAGCCCUGUCCGUUGCCCGAGUUUUCCUCCGUUUGUCCGAUCAGGUUAUUGUCUCAGGCAGCCUUUUUGGUGCCGCUGGUAGUGACCGUGACCGUAUUCCCUGCGCCUUGUCCCUUUCCUUUCUUCUUACGGAUAUUGUUUUCCUCCCACCACUCCGGAUACCCUAUGAUCUUAAAGCAUCCGUCCCGGGUAUGUCGAGAUCCGCCGCAAUGGGUGCAUUUUAAGCCUGAUUUAUCAUCCCGGAGUGAUGACUUGUCUGUGUCUGACCGGUUUUUAGCCAAUAGACCGGCCCCCACGAGGUCGGAACCUGCUGUCGCUGGUGAUGGAAGAGGAAGGUGGAUGGCACGGCGCAACUUCUCACCUCGGAGCCGAGAGUAGGCGUUGUCCAAGGUCGGCAAUGGCUCCUCGUUGAGAAUUUCUCGACGGACUGGAUCGAGGUCCUACUGUACUCCGGCCAAAAAUAGGUACAGACGUUCCUCUUGGAUUUCCCGGUUCCGGAUAAUGAUAUUGUUGUCUCCUUCGAUUCUGGUCGGUUGUCUUUCAUCGAUCUCGGCCCAGAUGGCCUGAAGAUCGUUGUAUAAAUCUUCCAGAUUGCUUCCUUGUUGUGUUAAUUUGUAUGCUUUAGACUGUAACUCGUAAAUGAUAAGUUUGUUGCUACCUGUAUUGAAUAUGAUCUUGAGGGCAUCCCAUAGUCCUUUGCUUGUCUUGUGCUGCAAUAAAUUUGGACGGAGCUUCUGCUCUACCGUCUGGAUUAACCAUCCUCGGACAAUGCUGUCAUUAGUUUGUCACAGGUAAAUUGCGGGGUCUGUUUCUGUCGGAGGGGAGGGAGUCCCAGUCAGAUGGUUUGAUUUCCCUCGCCCUGUGAUAAACAUCUCCAUCAUCUUUGCCCAGACAACAUAAUUGGAAUCAUUCAAUUUUAUGUCGGACGGUGGCUGUGCUGAAUCAAGAUUGAAUUGGUUUGCUGAUUUCUGAUUUCCAUUUUGGCUAUUCUGAAUUAACUGGAAUAGUUUUUGUGACAAGUCUGCUAUUGGAUCAAUUAUUGCCUGGGAUUGGUCAGCCGGACUGGGGUGGUCGGCCAUUGUUGUUUCGGUGAGAGAAAGAAGUUGGGAAAGGUAUCUGGUAGGUUGGUUAGUGAGAGAAGGUCGGGAAAAAUAUCUGGUAACGGAUGGUUGCAGGACGGCUAUAAUUCCAGGAUCGGAACCUGCUCUGAUACCAUAUUGAGAUUAUAGGAAGAAAUUGAGAUUAUAGGAAGAAAACUGCUUCUAUUUUCUUACCUCUUGUGUAGUAAGUUACAGAGUUUAUAUAGUACAUAAUAUGAACAAUUAGACCUUUGAUUGUGCCCUCAAUUAUGUCCUAGAAUCGUGCUAUACUAAACAUGGUAAGAUUUGAUCACUGAUUGAUUUACAAUCAUGGCAGAGGAUUCUUUCCAACACUGAUUGAUUUACAAUCAUGGCAGAGGAUUCUUUCCAACACACUAGACUAGUCAAAACAUAUGUAUAUAUAAGUCAUCAAGAUCCAGUACUCACUGAUAAGUAAUAUAAUCCUCAACUCAUCUUAAUCCUCAAAUUUACUAGCAUUGAUAUUCUUUUCUUCAAUACACAUCUUGUGUGUACAUUAGAUUUCAAAUCAUGUUGUGAGAUGUAGGGGAUUCAAAGCAAAUGUCAUUUAUCUUUGGAUGUUUCCACUAUGUGGAAUUCCACCUAUUUGAUGUUGAGAACUGCGAAAAAUUUGAAAAUGCAUUUGAUAGAUUUGCAACUAUUGAUCCAUGCUUUAAGUUUGAUCUUGCAUCUGGUAAAGAAUGUGAUGGUGUGCCUGAUAGUUUGGAUUGGGACUAUAUUAGAAAAAUUAUAGAUUUCUUGGUUCAUUUUUAUAAUCUUACAUUAAAGAUUUCAGGUUCUAGAUAUGUCACUUCCAAUAUUUUUUUUGAUGAGAUUAGUUCAGUUGAUUGUUUAUUACAAGAGUGAAAAAUUAGUGAUGACCUAAUUUUGGCAAAUAUGGGUGAGAAGAUGAAAGUGAAGUUUGAUAAAUAUUGGGGGGAUCCUGAUAAAAUGAACAAACUUAUUUAUAUUGCGGUUGUGAUGGAUCCAAGAUAUAAGAUGGAAUUUAUGGGUUUUGCACCCUCUGCUGUGUAUGGGAAUGGAAAGAGUUUGGAUUUAACAGAUAAAAUUAAAUCAGUUGUGUAUGAGUUGUUUGAAGAAUACAAGAGAAUGUUUGCUAAUGAAAAUGCAAACAUAAAUGAUGGUCAUGCACAUUCGAUUGCAAUUGAAAACUUGGAUGAGGAAGGAUCAAAAAAGAGAUCAAGGAUGAAUUUGGGUAGUCAAUUUUUGAAACAUAAAAUUGAGAUUGGAGAAGCUAAAAAUAAGUCAGAUCUAAAUUGUUAUCUUAACGAGAGUAUUCAAGUGGUGGAUGAGAAAGAUGAAUUUGAUAUAUUACUUUGGUGGAAACUUAACUCUAAUAGGUUCCCUAUCCUUUCUCAUUUGGCUAGAGAUAUUUUAGCAGUUCCUAUCUCUAUUGUUGCAUCAGAAUCGGCUUUUAGCACAGAUGGUAGAGUACUUGACUCUUUUAGGAGUUCUUUAACUCCUAAAGUUGUUGAGGUUUUAAUAUGUGCACAAUAUUGGCUUCGAAAAUCUCAUUGCCGUAAGUCCAUUGAAGAACAAAUAGCAGAUAUGGAAAGACUUGAAGAAGGUAUGUAGAUUCUUAUUUAAUUUUUUAAAUUAUUAUUGGCUUAAAUGUUUUAUGCUUGAUAAAUAUUAAAUUAUUCUUUUCUUAUUUUUUCAGCAUUUGCAAAUUGUGAGGUGGGUAGCAGUAUUAAUGAAAACAGUCAAAAUACCGUCAAUUUGGAUGGUUGAUAUAAAAUGGAAUGAUUUCAAGGUAGAUAAUCUUUUCUUGUCAUUAUUGAUUAUUGAAUUGAUUCUGACAACUUUUUAUAGCUAUUUUAAUAUUUUUUAUACAGUGAAAUAUCAGUUCAAGUUUGAAGAAUAUGGUAAAGAAUAUGGUGGUCGGAGACUUGAUAACAAAAAUGAAGAUGUUUUUGUUGUUUAAUUUUAUGCUCGUUCAAUCGUUUGGAAUUUGGAUCAUGUAAUUUGGAACUUUUGGAUUAUGCAACUUUCUUUAUAUUUAUAUUGGACUAUUGGAUUAUAAACUAUAUUUUAUAUGAUGUAUGAAUAUUAUGUGUAAAAUAGUAGAGCAGGUUAUUUUAAUAGUAGAA
rnacentral:lncRNA from 1 species